rnacentral:rRNA from 1 species
CAAUAGCGUAUAUUUAAGUUGUUGCAGUUAAAAAGCUCGUAGUCGGAUUUUGGCUGAGAACGAUCGGUCCGCCGUUAGGUGUGCACUGAUUGGUCUCAGCUUCCUGGUGAGGAGGUGUGCUUCACGGCCACUUAGUCACCGUGGUUACUCUGAAAAAAUUAGAGUGUUCAAAGCGGGCUUACGCUUGAAUAUAUUAGCAUGGAAUAACACCAUAGGACUCCUGUCCUAUUUCGUUGGUCUCGGGACGGGAGUAAUGAUUAAGAGGAACAGUUGGGGGCAUUCGUAUUUCAUUGUCAGAGGUGAAAUUCUUGGAUUUAUGAAAGACGAACUUCUGCGAAAGCAUUUGCCAAGGAUGUUUUCAUUGA